UCCUACGGGGGGCAGCAGUCGAGAAUCAUUCACAAUGGGCGAAAGCCUGAUGGUGUGACGCCGCGUGGAGGAUUAAGGUCUUCGGAUUGUAAACUCCUGUCAAGUGAGAGUAAAUUUGCGCGUUAACUGCGUCGCAAACUGAGAGUAUCACUAGAGGAAGAGACGGCUAACUCUGUGCCAGCAGCCGCGGUAAUACAGAGGUCUCAAGCGUUGUUCGGAAUCACUGGGCGUAAAGGGUGCGUAGGCUGUGUUGUAAGUCAGAGGUGAAAUCCCGGGGCUCAACCCCGGAACUGCCUCCGAUACUGCAAGACUUGAGGACUGGAGAGGAGAUUGGAAUUCAUGGUGGAGCAGUGAAAUGCGUAGAUAUCAUGAGGAACGCUAGUGGCGUAGGCGAAUCUCUGGACAGUUCCUGACGCUGAGGCACGAAGGCUAGGGGAGCAAACGGGAUUAGAUACCCCGGU
rnacentral:rRNA from 1 species